rnacentral:rRNA from 1 species
UUCCGGUUGAUCCUGCCGGAGGCUACCGCUAUUGGAGUUCGAUUAAGCCAUGCGAGUCGCGAGAAAUUAGAUUCUCGGCGUACCGCUCAGUAACACGUGGGUAACCUGCCCUAUGCUGGAUAAUAACCUCGGGAAACUGAGAAUAAUGAUCCAUAGUUCACUACGCCUGGAACGGUGAGUGGAUGAAAGCUCCGGCGGCAUAGGAUGGGCCUGCGGCGUAUCAGGUUGUAGGGGGUGUAACGUACCCUCUAGCCCUCUACGCGUACGGGUGUUGGGAGACAUAGCCCGGAGAUGGAUUCUGAGACACGAAUCCAGACCCUACGGGGUGCAGCAGGCGCGAAAACUUGGCAAUGCGAGAAAUCGUGACCAGGGAACUCCAAGUGCAUCGGGUAAGACCGGUGCUUUUCUUGACUCUAAAAAGGUCUUGGAAUAAGGGGUGGGUAAGGACGGUGCCAGCCGCCGCGGUAAUACCGGCGCCUCAAGUGGUAGUCGCUUUUAUUGGGCCUAAAACGUCCGUAGCCGGUCUGAUACAUUCGUGGGUAAAUCAACCAGCUCAACUGGUUGAAUUCUGCGAGGACGGUCAGACUUGGGACCGGGAGAGGUGUGGGGUACGCUCAGGGUAGGGGUAAAAUCCUGUCAUCCUGAGCGGACCACCUGUUGCGAAGGCGCCACACUAGAACGGAUCCGACGGUCAGGGACGAAGCCUAGGGGCACGAACCGGAUUAGAUACCCGGGUAGUCCUAGGUGUAAACGCUGUGGACUUGAU